CGGAGCAAUCUGUGUGAGUGGCGGACGGGUGAGUAACACGUGGGUACCUACCCUGUGGUGAGGAAUACCGGCGAGAAAUCGCCGACAAUACCGCAUAUCUUUGCUUUGCAAAGAAAGCUCGCAAGAGCGCCAUGGGAAGGGCCUGCGGCCGAUUAGCUAGUUGGUGGGGUAAAAGCCUACCAAGGCGACGAUCGGUAGCUGGUCUGAGAGGAUGAUCAGCCACACUGGGAUUGAGAACGGCCCAGACUCCUACGGGGGGCAGCAGUGAGGAAUAUUCGUCAAUGGGGGAAACCCUGAACGAGCAACGCCGCGUGCAGGAAGAAGGUUUUCGGA
rnacentral:rRNA from 1 species